AUCCCGAUACAGAAGAGAAGAGGAGACGGAGGGGGGUGCACCGAGAAUAUUAAACUCACGAGUCACUGUGCGCACGUUUAUGUAUAUGUUUUCUCACGUAGGAGCCUGAUCACAGAUUAUGAUGCAGUUCAUGCUGCUGUUCAGCAGGCAGGGGAAGCUGAGGCUGCAGAAGUGGUACGUCCCGCUGUCGGACAAGGAGAAGAAGAAGAUCACCCGCGAGCUGGUGCAGACCGUCCUGGCUCGCAAGCCCAAGAUGUGCAGCUUCCUGGAGUGGCGCGACCUCAAGAUCGUUUACAAAAGGUACGCUAGCUUGUAUUUCUGCUGUGCCAUAGAAGACCAGGACAACGAGCUCAUCACACUGGAGAUAAUUCAUCGAUACGUAGAGCUGCUGGAUAAGUACUUCGGCAGCGUGUGUGAGCUUGACAUCAUCUUCAACUUUGAGAAGGCCUACUUCAUCCUGGAUGAGUUCCUGCUGGGAGGCGAGGCGCAGGAAACCUCCAAGAAGAAUGUGCUGAAGGCCAUCGAGCAGGCAGACCUCCUGCAGGAGAGCCAGAGUGAAGACUGGGGAGGUUUAUCCACUGAGGAUAUCUUAUAAUGAGGAGAAAUCAGGCCUUGGCCUUCAAUGCACCUUCUUCCAGACUGUUGGAUGCUAAAGAGGCAGAGACUCCGCGCAGUGUUCUUGAAGAAAUUGGACUGACAUAAAGCUGACCCACCACCACCUUUUUCGUCUCCAGUUCUUGUUUUUCUCUGCCUACUGUUUCUGUGUCCUGCGAAUAAUGUAACGCUAACUGUACUCAUGGUGCUGUGUCAGUAAUGAGGCAUCUUAUUCUUUUCAUUUUAAAAAAAUAUUGGUACUGCAUACACAGUAUUGCACUCUACAGAAUUAAAAUGAGUAACAAAGGGAUCACUUGAUUAAAAUUUGUGUUCACUUUCAGAGAUAUUGAAACUGCCUUAAGAUAUCCAAACAGUAUUUCUGAUGUGGGAAGGAUUCAGAUCGAACUGUGCGACUUUCAUUUCUGUGUAGCUGUAAUGUAAAAACAAAUGUUGGAAUGCAUUUUAAUCUGAAGAGUCAAGGGUAACAAAGGACUGUCAUAGUUAGAUAGCCACCUAGGUUUAGGUUAUAUAGGUCCUUUGGAGUUACAUGCACCAUAUCUUUAGGUCAGUUGUUUUUGCUUUUCCUAACAUGUAGCAAGUCUCAAAGGAAAUAGAAUGAAGGUUUUAGAAAUUAUUCUUAAUAUGGGGAGACGUAAGUGGUUCAGGACCAACACUUAGAUUACGGGGACAAAAAAGAUGGGCAGGGGGUUUGUCACUUUCAGGGCCUCUUUAGUGUUUACAACCAAAGAAACACUGUGUUAGUAUUCAUAUACUUUUGUAAAACAGAAAUUAUAUUUUGGGAAGAACUUUGCAUAUUAUUUGUGAUGUUAAAAGGGAAGAGAGAAAGGGAUUUAUUGAACCAAAGAGUUUUUUUUUUCCUUUGCCAAGCCUAAUAUCCUAAAGUAGUGGUGCAGUUCAGUACUGCAUACCAUGAAGUGUGCUGGCAAUGGAUCACAGUACAGUAGAGGUGAAAAUACUGUUAAAACCUUUGAUAUCACUACCUGAUACGUGAAAUUUAGCUCUAUGAUAUGAUAUUUUGUGGUAAAUAGCAUACAGUAUGUACCCAUCGACAUUUGACUGUGAUCUUUAAGUUUUUUAUGGCCCUGGAGAACUUUAACAAAACCUUGAUUGGAUUUCCUUUAAGAGGUAUUUCUUUCCUUUGUGUAGGUCACUGGCCCCAACUUUAAUUUCAUUAGUUUAGAUAUUCUCUGUCAUCACUCGUGUGUCCCACAGUGGAAAGGUGUUGUGUUUUGUAAUGUUGUCUCUGUAAAUCAAUGUUGCAGUGUUUGUUGUUCAAAUAAAUCUAUUUACACCACUUCA